rfam:Magnaporthe poae ATCC 64411 unplaced genomic scaffold supercont1.5, whole genome shotgun sequence.
CGAGGUGAUGAUAAAAAAAACAGGGAUUCCUCAUGCCGAAGAUCAUAUGUGGACACCAUUUUUCUAGUUUCAGCCUUGUCUGAUC